rnacentral:rRNA from 1 species
UUGACCUCAAAUCAGGUAGGACUACCCGCUGAACUUAAGCAUAUCAAUAAGCGGAGGAAAAGAAACUAACAAGGAUUCCCCUAGUAACUGCGAGUGAAGCGGGAAAAGCUCAAAUUUAAAAUCUGGCAGUUUCACUGUCCGAGUUGUAAUCUGGAGAAGCGUUUUCUGCGUCAGACCGUGUACAAGUCUCUUGGAACAGAGCGUCAUAGAGGGUGAGAAUCCCGUCCAUGACACGGACUCCCGAUGCUUUGUGAUACGCUCUCGAAGAGUCGAGUUGUUUGGGAAUGCAGCUCAAAAUGGGUGGUAAGCUCCAUCUAAAGCUAAAUAUUGGCGAGAGACCGAUAGCGAACAAGUACCGUGAGGGAAAGAUGAAAAGCACUUUGGAAAGAGAGUUAAACAGUACGUGAAAUUGUUGAAAGGGAAACGCUUGAAGUCAGUCGCAUCUUACUUGACUCAGCCUUGCUUUGGCUUGGUGUAUUUCAAGUAGGGUGGGUCAACAUCAAUUUUGAUCGGUGGACAAGGGGAAAGGGAAUGUGGCACUCUUUGGGGUGUGUUAUAGCCUUUUCUCAUAUACAUCGGUUGGGAUUGAGGUCCGCAGCAUACCCUUGUGGCCGGAGGUUUACCUAACGU